CGUUUAAAUAUAAUUACUAGACGGAAAGCAGCACGCGCGGAAACCAUGCAGACGAAUGUGAUUAGGCUCCGCCUCUUUUGGAUCAUUUGAAGACAAAAUAAGCACCCGAGGCGGCUUUUUGAUUGGAUAUGAGCCUCAUGAAUAUGUAUUUUAUCGAUAGUAUCGUUUAAGAAACCGGAUAAUAUAUUUGACCUCAUUGCGUCACUUUAAUUAUGCAGAUUUAUGCACGACGCAGGCUACUCACACAAACUGAGAAGAUUUAGUUCAUUGAGAAUGGAUGGAAACUGAUGAAGAGCUGGAAGGAGCUAACUGAUGAGUAGACAUUACAACAUUUCUUAUAUUUUCAAGAUGAAGCUGAAAGUCCCAUGCAGGAUGAUGCUUCUCUACAGUGGAUGAUGAAAGCAUGCUGAUUACAA